CUCAAAGGCUUUUUUGGGGGUUUAGCUCAGUUGGUUUAGAGCAUCGGCUUUGCAAGCCGGGGGUCAAGGGUUCGAAUCCCUUAACCUCCAUUUAUUUGUUUUUAAAUAAGUGUGAAUUAAGCCUUUUAAGAAAUGUCUUGUAUUAAAAAAGAAGCUAUUCAAACGUAUUGUUGCUUUUAAAGUGUUAUUUUUUGAUUUAUUUAGGUGAAUUUAGUAUUUUAUAUUGAGUUAACAAAUUUUUUCAUGGGCUUAAAAGGUAUGUUUUUAUGUUAUUUGUUAUCCUGAUGAAUUUCUUUUUAUGAAUUCCAAGACUUGAUUACAUGCAAAAACUUUAUCUUUAAUUAUUUUAUUCAUAUUAUCAAGAACCUUAUCAUGAAUCGACCUAAU
rnacentral:tRNA from 1 species